rnacentral:miRNA from 1 species
UCAGGACACUUCUGAACUUGGA